rnacentral:misc_RNA from 1 species
AGCAGGAUCAAUAACGGAAAAAACAGCCAAAGGGCUUUUGUGUUUUCUAUUGUGUCUCAACAACACAGUAAAAGACAUGUCAGCCCUUGUUUAAUCCCUUAUUCUGGAGUGACGCCCAUGAAAGACCGGCCGACAGUGCGAAGCCGGGAGUCAGCCCCUUUUUUUUGACUGACAGUAACAUGUCAAGUCAUUUUGGUUCUGGGGGGGGAGAGUGGUUUUUGGGGGCCCCAAAAACAAUUAAAAAAAGAACCCCGCUCUCCACACAAACGACCCCCCAGAUCCAACAACCAUUUUUUUACACCGCGUAACGGUGGAUCUCUUGGUUCGUGCCUCGAUGAAACCGCAUCCAAGCGCGAUAGUUAUGGUGAAUCGCAGAGAACCGCGAGCCAGAAAACUGUUGAAUGCACGCUGCGGCCCGGGGAACUUCCAUUCCCUGGGUCACACAUUUCCGAGUGUCGGUUUUUCAACUCCGACAUAAAGGUAGCACCUGAGUGGUGUUUUUGCCUACACCAUCUGGUGAAGCAAGCUGCGUACACUGUCCUUUUUGUUGCCUUCAAAAAGCAAACACAAGGGACAAUCCGUUUGACAGAUUGCGGCAAGUUGCCCCAUGCUCUUGCAACCACGACGAUCAGCUUCUGUUUCUCAACGUGUGAAAACCCAUUGAGACGGCUCCGUCCUGUGGUUCGUAGUUUUGGGGUGUGCCGGACUGCAAAUCCAAAAGAAUAGCGACAAAAAGCAGAAUGUCAUGUUUUGCUUUGCGUCCUUUUCUUUCUUUUUAAGACCUCGGGAAUGUGAGAUCACGCCCGGAACUUAAGCAUAUCAUUAAGGGCAGGACAAGAAAGCAACCGCGAUUCCAUUAGUAACUGCGAGUGAACAUGGAAACACGCAAGUGAGCCCAUCCACAAGACCUUGCGGCGGAGGGAAACCAAAGCCGCAGUACUGCAAGGUUUGGAUGUUUCGGCGAUCCUGAGGUUUUGCCCCAGCAAGUUGCCUGGAACGGCACGCCAUGGAGGGUGACAGCCCCGUUCGGCUGGGCAGCCAAGGGAAACAAAGCUGAAGCGUUCCGAGAGUCGGACUGUUUGAGACUGCAGUCUGAACCGGGAGAUAUGCCUCUCCCAAGGCUAAACAUUGGCACGAGACCGAUAGCGAACAAGUAGAAUGAUCGAAAGAUGCAAAGCACUCUGCAAAGAGAGUGAAAAGUACGUGAAACCGUUACGUUGCAACGUAACGACACCCAUCCGUUUGAAAGCCCCCGGCUGCCUUCGGGCGGUCAAGCGACGGGGGAUUUUGGGCAGCACCAAUCAGGACUGCCGCACGGCGGUGCGGAGCACGCCCGGCUGCAAACUUGUUUGCGGCUUGGCCUCCGCGCUGGUCUCUGGACGGUCCUGAUUCGAAACCUUUUCCGGGGCGAUGCACGGGCUUGCCACCGCGCUUGGGUGCGGUCGCAGCGCCGCUGGCUUUUUAACCAACUGCCAGUGACCUGAGGCUGUGCCACGGCGUGUCGAGCGGCCUGUCGCAGACGCUUCGGUAACGUAUGCUGCUUUGAAUGGUGUCGUUACACCCGUCUUGAAACACGGACCAAGGAGUCUACUGCAUGCGCGAGCGUUAUGGUGAUAGAAACCAUCGACGCACAAUGAAAGUGAACGGUGGGCUUGUUCCUACCUUUGUGUGGCGAAGCCGCAAGGCUGCAGCCACGGCCGCGCCCAGGGAGCAGGGACGCGAGUCAAAGUGCAUCCAGUGGGACCCGAAAGAAGGUGAACUUUUCCCGAACAGGGCGAAGCCGGGAGAAAUUCCGGUGGAGGCUCGUAGCAGUGCUGACGUACAAAUCGCUUGCCAAAUUCGGGUAAAGGGGCGAAAGACUCAUCGAACUUUCUAGUAGCUGGUUCCCUC